GAUGUUUUGCCUAUCAGGCAGCACUUUCUCGGCGGCGUGAAGUCCAGUAUCCAGCGAUUUUUUUACGAAAUCGAAAGCACUGCAUUAGGGCUUUAAUCGUCAUAUCUACUCGUUGGACUUUCCCUGGCGGACCUUAAAAAGGACAGUCAACAUCCUGAACGCUAGUUUUGCCUGUAAGGUUAAACCGAGGGCUAAAUAUCCUUCUUCCUACCUCUGACUUGAGUCUGCUGUAAAUUUGACUCAUGUUAAUGCUAUCACAGAGACAGCGUGCUUUACCCUCAUAGAUCUCUGUCUCAUUUUUUUUUACCGUGUUCACGUUUAGUUAGAUAGGCGUUAGUUAAAACAAAUCACAGACGUUUAAACAGAUAUAGUCGUAAAAUGACGGAACAGUCCUCGUUGUUACUGCGUAAACAACUAGCAGAGCUAAACAAGAACCCAGUAGAAGGCUUUUCUGCGGGUCUUGUCGACGACGAUGACAUUUAUCAGUGGGAGGUAGUUGUCAUUGGGCCUCAAGACACCUUAUUUGAAGGAGGUUUCUUCAAAGCAACCUUAACUUUUCCCCGUGACUAUCCUCUGAGGCCUCCUAAGAUGAAGUUCAUUACAGAACUCUGGCAUCCAAAUGUGGCGAAGAAUGGUGAUGUUUGCAUUUCUAUCCUGCAUGAACCUGGUGAGGACAAAUAUGGCUAUGAGAAGCCAGAGGAGCGCUGGCUACCGAUCCAUACCGUGGAGACCAUAAUGAUCAGUGUUAUAUCCAUGUUGGCAGACCCUAAUGGAGACUCUCCUGCCAAUGUGGAUGCAGCUGCUGAGUAACGUGGGUCCCCGCAAGGCAAAUCAUCACCUGCCAAGAAAGAGUGGAGGGAAGAUCCUAACGGAAUUUUUAAGAAAAAAGUGGCCCGAUGUGUGCGGAGGAGUCAAGAGAUGGCGUUUGACUAAAGCCUCACUUCAGUCAUCAAUGUGGGUGGAACUUCAGAGGAUUUGACAACUGGUAAGACGUCAGUCAGCCUGAAGAUCAUGGGGCACAGUUUGCAACAUCAGUCGCCUAAAGGAGAGAGAGACUUACGGGAGGAAACAGUUCAAAAAAUUACAUUCAGCUUGUGUGUGUAUUUUUUUUAUUAUUUUUUUUGAACAGUCACUUAUUUCUCUAUAAAUUUUUGUUUUGCCAUUUGAGAGUUGUUUAUUUAUAAGUGUGGUUGGUUGGCAGAGGCACUCAUGCUGCCCUAAGUUCUCAUUUUACAUUCAGUUUUCCUUCCUCAGUGGGACAAAAGACAGUCUAUUCCAUCAUCAGAAUUUCACUCACAGCAAGAUGAUUUAUAGGAAUUGGGUUUAUACAAGGACACUUUUUGGGUAAAGAAUUAUAUCCCCUCUGAUAAAUGUACCAUUUAUGAUCUUAUUUACUUUCUAUGAACCUAUUUAUUUAGACCAAGGCUAUUUUAUGAUGUGUACUGUCCGUUUUUGAUGCUUUUUCUAUUUUCAACCUGCUACACUGAGCCACCCAGUCUAUUUAUCUGUCAGUAAUACAGCUUAAGACUAUUUGCAGACAUUGGAGAUGGAGAUAUGGACAAUGGCUUGUCUUUCCUGCUCAUUUUAAAAGUUAAUUUCCCUGAGAGUGGAAACUUACCAUCCAUUGCUGCCUUAACUUUGACUGCCAAGGAAGGAAACCAAUCAAUUUUCCAUCAGGACUGCAUCUGAAGGCUUGUUUUGAAGGCAGAAAAAUACAGUUAUGGACAAACCAAAGAGAACACAACAAUAAAUAUUUUUGUAAUGAGCAUGCUACAUUUUUUACCUUUGUAAAUAUGAACUCUUUGUCCAUGUGAUUGCACACAAAGAUGCAUGCAUCUUUCCUGAAGGGUGUACCGUUGCCGUCGUUUCGUGGCACUUCAAAUACCACCCAUUAAAUGAUCUGAUCUCGUUCACUCGUCAGGGCUGAACAGUCAAUCAUGAAAUACAUUUAAAUGGCUAGGAAGGAAAAUGAUUUAUUGGAUAUGCAGGUCAAUGAAUGUUAGAUUUUGAAUAUAAGUAAUAAACCUCAAUGUGGACAUUGA